AUGAACGCUGGCGGCGUGGAUAAGGCAUGCAAGUCGAACGGUUUUCUUUAUUGAAGAAGAUGCGAUUACAUCAAAUUAACAGAUAUUUUGAAAACAGUGGCGAACGAGCUAGUAACACCUUGGUACGUACCCGAAAGUUUGGUAUAGCUCGCCGAAAAGCGGGGUAAUCCCAAAUAGUCCCUUCAUCUAUCGGAUGAUAGGGUAAAGUAGCAAUACGCUUUCGGAUCGGCCUAGGUCCGAUCAGUUAGUUGGUGAGGUAAUGGCUCACCAAGACAAUGACCGGUAGGGG
rnacentral:rRNA from 1 species